rnacentral:lncRNA from 1 species
ACUUGAUAAAAAUCCUCGCAUUUCCAAAAUGUUUUCAUUUUAAGCAUUUGCAGAAGUUAAAUAAAUGUAGCAGACAUUCUAAAUUCGAUAAAAAAUUCAGAGAACCCGACAUUUUAUGUACCCCAAAGGUCCAAACAGAACCGAUGUAAAUGUCAAUAGCUGUCUCCCUUCCGGCUGAUACUUAAAUGGUUUUACUAGUACUCAAAGCAAUGAAAUCAGCAACUCUCUCUCCACACUCUAGUCAACACUCCAAUUUCCAAAGCCGCAAUUCGCAAACGUCAGUUGGGCGGGGGCGGUGGGGGAUCUUGAAGUAAUCCAAAAAUUUCCUUUCCCCUUUGACAGUCCACCAAAAGAUGUCAAACCAAAUCCAGCCUAUUGUAAAGCUCUGGGACCUCCCUUCCAAGGACACCGAACACAAGCUUAGACACCGCUGCGAAAAGCUGUCCAAAAGCGCCUGGCCGGACAGAAAUGGUUGCCGUGCAGGGAGUGUCAGC